rnacentral:hammerhead_ribozyme from 1 species
AUCUAGCUGACGAGUCCCGAAUAGGACGAAACGCGUGUUCUGGAU